GACGAACGCUGGCGGCGUGCCUAAUACAUGCAAGUAGAACGCUGAAGGAGGAGCUUGCUUCUCCGGAUGAGUUGCGAACGGGUGUGUAACGCGUAGGUAACCUGCCUGGUAGCGGGGGAUAACUAUUGGAAACGAUAGCUAAUACCGCAUAAGAGUAGAUGUCGCAUGACAUUUGCUGAAAAGGUGCAACUGCACCACUACCAGAUGGACCUGCGUUGUAUUAGCUAGUUGGUGAGGUAACGGCUCACCAAGGCAACGAUACAUAGCCGACCUGAGAGGGGGGUCGGCCCCACUGGGACUGAGACACGGCCCAGACGCCUACGGGAGGCAGCAGUAGGGAAGCUUCGGCAAUAGACGGAAGUCUGACCGAGCAACGCCGCGUGAGUGAAGAAGGUUUUCGGAUCGUAAAGCUCUGUUGUAAGAGAAGAACGAGGGUGAGAGUGGAAAGUUCACACUGUGACGGUAUCUUACCAGAAAGGGACGGCUAACUACGUG
rnacentral:rRNA from 1 species